rnacentral:rRNA from 1 species
AUACGUAGGGUGCGAGCGUUGUCCGGAAUUACUGGGCGUAAAGAGCUCGUAGGUGGUUUGUCGCGUCGUCUGUGAAAUUCCGGGGCUUAACUCCGGGCGUGCAGGCGAUACGGGCAUAACUUGAGUACUGUAGGGGAGACUGGAAUUCCUGGUGUAGCGGUGAAAUGCGCAGAUAUCAGGAGGAACACCGGUGGCGAAGGCGGAUUUCUGGGCAGUAACUGACGCUGAGGAGCGAAAGCAUGGGUAGCGAACAGGAUUAGAUACCCUGGUAGUCCAUGCCGUAAACGGUGGGCGCUAGGUGUAGGGGUCUUCCACGACUUCUGUGCCGUAGCUAACGCAUUAAGCGCCCCGCCUGGGGAGUACGGCCGCAAGGCUAAAACUCAAAUGAAUUGACGGGG